rnacentral:rRNA from 1 species
UACGUAGGGUGCAAGCGUUAAUCGGAAUUACUGGGCGUAAAGCGUGCGCAGGCGGUUGUGCAAGACCGAUGUGAAAUCCCCGGGCUUAACCUGGGAAUGGCAUUGGUGACUGCACGGCUAGAGUGUGUCAGAGGGGGGGUAGAAUUCCACGUGUAGCAGUGAAAUGCGUAGAGAUGUGGAGGAAUACCGAUGGCGAAGGCAGCCCCCUGGGAUAACACUGACGCUCAUGCACGAAAAGCGUGGGGAGCAAACAGG